rnacentral:rRNA from 1 species
CCUACGGGGGGCAGCAGUGGGGAAUAUUGGACAAUGGGGGGAACCCUGACCCAGCCAUGCCGCGUGUGUGAAGAAGGCCCUCGGGUUGUAAAGCACUUUCAGUGAGGAAGAACGCCUGGUGGUUAAUACCCAUCAGGAAAGACAUCACUCACAGAAGAAGCACCGGCUAACUCCGUGCCAGCAGCCGCGGUAAUACGGAGGGUGCGAGCGUUAAUCGGAAUUACUGGGCGUAAAGCGCGCGUAGGUGGCUUGAUAAGCCGGUUGUGAAAGCCCCGGGCUCAACCUGGGAACGGCAUCCGGAACUGUCAAGCUAGAGUGCAGGAGAGGAAGGUAGAAUUCCCGGUGUAGCGGUGAAAUGCGUAGAGAUCGGGAGGAAUACCAGUGGCGAAGGCGGCCUUCUGGACUGACACUGACACUGAGGUGCGAAAGCGUGGGUAGCAAACAGGAUUAGAUACCCUUGUAGUC